GACGAACGCUGGCGGCGUGCUUAACACAUGCAAGUCGAACGGGUCUGCCCUGUUUUUUGCGGGGUGGGUCAGUGGCGAACGGGUGAGUAACACGUGAGUAACCUGCCCCUCACUUCUGGAUAACCGCUUGAAAGGGUGGCUAAUACGGGGUGUUCUGGCUGUGCCGCAUGGUGUGGCUGGGAAAGAUUCACUUUUGUGGUGUUUUGGUGGGGGAUGGGCUCGCGGCCUAUCAGCUUGUUGGUGGGGUGAUGGCCUGCCAAGGCUUUGACGGGUAGCCGGCCUGAGAGGGUGGGCGGUCACACUGGGACUGAGAUACGGCCCAGACUCCUGCGGGAGGCAGCAGUGGGGGGUAUUGCACAAUGGGCGGAAGCCUGAUGCAGCGACGUCGCGUAAGGGAUGGAGGCCUUCGGGUUGUGAACCUCUUUCGCCGGUGAAGAAGGUCCUGCUCUUUGUGGUGGGGUUGACGGUAGCCGGGUUAUGAAGCGCCGGCUAACUACGUG
rnacentral:rRNA from 1 species